GACGAACGCGGCGGCGUGCUUAACACAUGCAAGUCGAACGGAGCGAAUGAAAGCUUGCUUUUAUAAGCUUAGUGGCAAACGGGUGAGUAACACGUAGGCAACCUGCCGACAGGAUGGGGACAACAUUCCGAAAGGAAUGCUAAUACCGAAUGAAGUCAGAGAAGGGCAUCCUUUUCUGAUGAAAGAUGGCCUCUGAAUAUGCUAUCACCUGUCGAUGGGCCUGCGUCUGAUUAGCUGGUAGGUGAGGUAACGGCUCACCUAGGCGACGAUCAGUAGCCGGUCUGAGAGGAUGAACGGCCACAUUGGGACUGAGACACGGCCCAGACUCCUACGGGAGGCAGCAGUGGGGAAUCUUCCGCAAUGGGCGCAAGCCUGACGGAGCAACGCCGCGUGAGUGAAGAAGGUCUUCGGAUCGUAAAGCUCUGUGAUGGGGACGAACGUGCCUAAUGCGAAAUAGUUU
rnacentral:rRNA from 1 species